UACGUAGGGUGCAAGCGUUAAUCGGAAUUACUGGGCGUAAAGCGUGCGCAGGCGGUUGUGCAAGACAGAUGUGAAAUCCCCGGGCUUAACCUGGGAACUGCAUUGGUGACUGCAUUGCUGGAGUAUGGCAGAGGGGGGUGGAAUUCCACGUGUAGCAGUGAAAUGCGUAGAGAUGUGGAGGAACACCGAUGGCGAAGGCAGCCCCCUGGGCCAAUACUGACGCUCAUGCACGAAAGCGUGGGGAGCAAACAGG
rnacentral:rRNA from 1 species